rnacentral:rRNA from 1 species
CCAAUAGCGUAUAUUAAAGUUGUUGUGGUUAAAAAGCUCGUAGUUGAACCUUGGGCCUGGCUGGCCGGUCCGCCUCACCGCGUGUACUGGUCCGGCCGGGCCUUUCCCUCUGUGGAACCCCAUGCCCUUCACUGGGUGUGGCGGGGAAACAGGACUUUUACUGUGAAAAAAUUAGAGUGCUCCAGGCAGGCCUAUGCUCGAAUACAUUAGCAUGGAAUAAUAGAAUAGGACGUGUGGUUCUAUUUUGUUGGUUUCUAGGACCGCCGUAAUGAUUAAUAGGGACAGUCGGGGGCAUCAGUAUUCAAUUGUCAGAGGUGAAAUUCUUGGAUUUAUUGAAGACUAACUACUGCGAAAGCAUUUGCCAAGGAUGUUUUCAUUAAUCAGGAACGAAAGUUAGGGGAUCGAAGACGAUCAGAUACCGUCGUAGUCUUAACCAUAAACUAUGCCGACUAGGGAUCGGACGAUGUUAUAUUUUGACUCGUUCGGCACCUUACG